CUACGGGCCGCAGCAGUGGGGAAUAUUGGACAAUGGGGGAAACCCUGAUCCAGCAAUGCCGCGUGUGUGAAGAAGGCCUGCGGGUUGUAAAGCACUUUCGGUUGGGAGGACUGCUUCUAGCACUAAUAUUGUUGGAAGUUGACGUUACCUUCAGAAGAAGCACCGGCUAACUCCGUGCCAGCAGCCGCGGUAAUACGGGGGUGCAAGCGGUAAUCGGAAUUACUGGGCGUCAAGCGCGCGUAGGCGGCUAGAUCAGUCGGGUGUGAAAGCCCCGGGCUGAACCUGGGAACUGCAUCCGAUACUGUCUAGCUUGAGUACAGGAGAAGAGAGUGGAAUUCCACAUGUAGCGGUGAAAUGCGUAGAUAUGUGGAGGAACACCAAUGGCGAAGGCAGCUCUCUGGCCUGAUACUGACGCUGAGGUGCGAAAGCGUGGGGAGCAAACAGGAUUAGAUACCCGAGUAGUC
rnacentral:rRNA from 1 species